UACAGAGGGUGCGAGCGUUAAUCGGAAUUACUGGGCGUAAAGCGCGCGUAGACGGUUUUGUAAGUCAGAUGUGAAAUCCCAGGGCUCAACCUGGGAACUGCAUUUGAGACUGCAUGGCUAGAGUAUCGAAGAGGGAAGUGGAAUUUCCGGUGUAGCGGUGAAAUGCGUAGAUAUUCGGAAGAACACCAGUGGCGAAGGCGGCUCACUGGCCCGGUACUGACGCUGAGGUGCGAAAGCGUGGGGAGCAAACAGG
rnacentral:rRNA from 1 species